GACAGAGGGUGCAAACGUUGCUCGGAAUCACUGGGCAUAAAGCGCACGUAGGCCGUCUACUAAGUCCAAUGUGAAAUCCCCCGGCUCAACCGGGGAACUGCAUCGGAUACUGGUGGACUCGAGAGUUGUAGGGGUGGACGGAACUCCAGGUGGAGCGGUGAAAUGCGUAGAGAUCGGGAAGAACAUCGGUGGCGAAAGCGCUCUGCUGGACUGCAACUGACACUCAGGGACGAAAGCUAGGGGAGCGAAUGGG
rnacentral:rRNA from 1 species